AAAAUAAAAUGAUCCGCUCGUUAUCCGGGUUUGCCGCGCGCGGCCGUCCGGACCCCCCGCUGCAUUUUCACUCCGCGCUGACUGAGAAAAGAAAGAGAAGAGAAGAGAAGAGCGGCUAACGGAGCGCUCCGGAGAGCCGGCCCUGGGUUCGAGAGAAUGACGAGGGUCUGUGUGUCUCUUCACGCCCGGGAGUUGCAGAGACACGACAACACGUCGACAGCGGGCGGACACAAAAGGAAGGAAAGCGGUCAAAAUCCUCUCAAACACAUUGAUUGAUUCCUCCAGUUCACACAGGACUGCGGUCCGCUGCCAUGUCUUCUGCAGCCAGUAGCGAAAGUUCUCGCGACGUCAGAGUCCACGAGCCUCGUUCGUCUGCAGAGCAGGAAAGGCGCUCACGCGGCCGCCACCCUCAUGAAUCCACCGCUCCUUGCAACUAAUAAACAACACGGCGAGCUGCUCGGAGAAGAGCGGGUCCGAGCGCGCUUGGCACGUCGGGUAACGUAGUCCGACAUCCGCAGGAAGUACGAAGGCAAAACGGAACGGCAAUCUGGAAAGAACUACAAAUCCCAAUUCAGAUGAGAGCACCACCCACGUGUUGCCUUGAAAUGUGCCGUCUUCCGGGUAGGUGGUGCCCCAGCCAGUAUUUCACGAUGAGCCGCUCCAGAUCAAAUACAGAAGGAAUAAUCGAUUUUCUGUAAUGGGCAGAACGCCUUUUGGGAUUAAUUCUAGUCUAUGCAGAAAAGCACUUCAGAAAUGAGACGCAUCUCUCAGCGCGAGACCGGAAGCGGGCAGCGUCGGCGGUCACGUGGGCGGCUGGCGCGCGCCUUCGCGAGCAGUGCGUGGCUCUGCUGUGACGCUGACGGUCGCCCAGACGGAAAAAAUCCCCCCAGCGCUGCAAGUUCUUCAGAAAAGCUCCCACACCCCGAGGAGAGCGAGGAACGGCGAACCGCCCUACUGACGCCAUGCUUCGGUGUCACCCGGAGCCGAGCUCCCCCCACCAGCGUACACGACGGUCAAAGGUCGAACCAGAGAGGCUGCAGUCUCUGCCACGUUCCCACCCUUAGCCCAAAGGACUUACCACGGAAAGACUCAUUUUCGUAAGUAUCUCGUUCCCUAAAACAAUUUUGCUCUUUCUUUAUAUACAUGAGCAGAAGCAAAUACUUACCCUGCUAUGUGCAGACAAAGCAACCAAAUCCAUCCAUCACAGUGCUUAACAAGAUUUAAUGUACAUUUAUUCUUAACAUGUGGAACAUAUAGUAUAAAGAUUUAUACCCAAUAAAUGAUAUUUCAUUGUAUGAGAGGAAAAUGAU
rnacentral:lncRNA from 1 species